UACAGAGGUCUCAAGCGUUGUUCGGAUUCAUUGGGCGUAAAGGGUGCGUAGGCGGCGCGGUAAGUCCGGUGUGAAAUCUUGGAGCUUAACUCCGAAACUGCAUUCGAUACUGCCGUGCUUGAGGACUGGAGAGGAGACUGGAAUUUACGGUGUAGCGGUGAAAUGCGUAGAUAUCGUAAGGAAGACCAGUGGCGAAGGCGGGUCUCUGGACAGUUCCUGACACUGAGGCACGAAGGCCAGGGGAGCAAACAGG
rnacentral:rRNA from 1 species